ACAAUUAUAAUAGAUUAAGAUGAAAUUGAAUUAAAUACGAUUAUUACAAAUUAUAGUUAGUAUUAAUAGUUUGUAAAAAUUUGUAUAUCUAAGAUGUCCCAUUUGUUAGUGCAAUUGUUUCCAAUACGACAUUUUCGAGUGAUGCUAACAAUAAGUCUUUUCUGCCAUUCAACGAAAUUAUAUGAUAUGUCGGCGAAAAAAUUUCUAUCGUAAAUGCUGUCGGUCAACUUGACUCUAAUGGUAAUUCUGAAUCUCAUUUAGCGAGUUCGAGUCUGUGCUGCGAUUCUAAACCCGAGAACACUCACUAGUUACCGACGCGCGUCGAUCUUGCAGAAAUCUGUCGUUGCGUCGUGGCGCUGUCCGCCUUGCCAUCAGGUGUCGCCAGCGUGCGCGUAGCAACUUCAGGUUUUAGAAUAUCCGUUGGCGCCUUGGAGGAACGCGGACGGGGGGACAUAUAGUUCUUGUGUUAUUAUUGCUAUUUGGUUGUACCAUGACCUCCUUUUACAUCGUGCAUAGUGCAGUCGUACUAACCGAUUAUGAAAACAUCGACCCGAAAUACAGGCGUCAAUGACUUCUUCUCAUCUCCGUCAAAUUCUGCACUAUUUCUACGUUGGAACGCGCGCGUGGAAGCGGAUAUCUCUUCAUUCAAGCGAGCCAGGCAAGUUCACGGUCGCUAUUUUCGGCAGAGAGCGCAGAACGGGAUCGAAGCGGAGGCAAAAGAGAGUAGAGGAGCCAGCCGGGAGGAGUCAGCCAGCGAAGUAGAGGUAAAAUAUAGAACUGCCACCUGUUCGACUGCGCCGCUAGCGCAUUGUGCCGCGGGCUUUUUCUACCGUGAACCGAAAGAUUAUCAUUGCAAACCCGGGACUCGCGGGUUUUGCGUUUAUCCCUUCCUCCCCCCCUCUCCCUUCCCUCCCGACUCUUCGUGAAACUUAAUUGAAAUCCAGCAUGAAAAUGCAUGGGAACGUUUUAACAACAUUAAUUACGUCUUUGUUGAUUUUCAACGUCGCUUCGUUGAUUUUGAUAAUAAGAACCGACUACACGACGAUAUUUCUUCGAUCGCUGCUAGAUCCAGAAAGAAUAAGAAUCGCACCGGCAUUCAUUGAUGAUUCAAAUACCACGUUAAUUAUCAGAAUUUUCAAUUCAAGAGACAUUAACAUAUUUUUCCACACGGUUUGCAGUACUACCAACGACGUUCGAAUCUUUUACUUGUUUCGACUCUGCGAUUUAUCACAUUUUAACAUAUUCCUCCCAAGAGAACGUUACGUACGAUGAAUAUAAUCAAGAACGUCUGUUAUCGCCUUUAAUUAAUCGUGCUCGCUUGUCGAUUUGCUUCUUGAGCGAGGACACACGUCCCGGAUUGUGCGUACUACUUUCGUUUCUCUCUCGUUUCCUCUUAUCUCUCUUUCUCUCUAGGUUUCCACCGUUCCCAGCACUCCAACAAUUCUCCACGCAUGGCCUGCCACGUUUUUCGUGCCGUUCAUGCCUAUUUUCCGGCGAGCGAUUCGGUCGACGACGCGAUUUUCCCGCACGCGGCAUAUUUCCCUCGCCGGAUACAUCCACAGACAAUGUAUUGAUUUACUUAUGUACACUAAUGUCAGCAUUGAUGUUGAGCGCGAAUGUAUAUAUCUAAAUCUUACGGGGGACAGAAGAAAUAAUAUAAAUAAAAUUAUCAGAAGAAAUUUGGGAAUAUAAAUUGCAGUAAUGUAAUACCAAAAGAAAUUUCAAAUACGAAUUAUUAUAAUCAAAAGUUGCCUGCAACAGUUGUCUAGCGAAUAAAUAUGUCUUCUAAGUUUAUUAUUUACUUAAAAUAAAAUUACGUAUUUUAUAAUUAAAAUUCAGAUGCAAAUUGGAAAGUGAAAUUUGUUAAUAGGCCAUCAACUCUAAAAUAUUCAAGCCGUAAAUUAUUUAGCAAUUGUAAUUUCUCUAUUCCUAGAAUAUAUAAUUAAUCAAUGAGUAAUUAUUCGGAAAGUAAGGCAAUGAAACAUUUCAAGAUAAUUUCAUCCGAUGACGUUAAACGUCUUCUGGGGCGCGUUCGGUUUCAUUCACGUGUCCACACGCACGAUGCGAUUUCGCCUGCUAUCCUCGAAUGCGGAGUCUCGCGCGUCUCGGCGGCAGGGUGGUUCUCUUCUCUCAAAUAUAUCUGCACCCGUACACGUGGACGCGGCGUUGUGUGCAGCACACGCGCACAGCGCACACCCACCCACUCGCUCGUACACACACACACCAGAUGCAAGUAGACACGGUAGCGGCCGGGUAUCUAUCGGGGUCUUCUAUUGCAACAGAUGCCUGUUGCUACGCGGCCCGGGCGACGCUGUCACGUUUUCGGCUUCUCCGCUCCUCGAACUUCUACCCGUUGCCUUUGCUCGCGUCCCUCCCUCGCGCCGUCCCGCCGUUACUCACCGAGAAGCGUUUUUCGCCCUUUUUGCCACGUGAUCGGGCAUUGACCCUAUCCCCGACGCGGCUCGGGGGUGGAAAGCACGAGGCGCAGCACUGACGACGAAGCGACCGCUUCCUUCCCCUCUCAUUUUUUCCUCCCUCUUUCUCUCUCUCUCUCUCUCUCUCUCUUUUUUUUUCUUUACGGAAGACAAUACUUUCGAACCAACGAAGCGAUAACAAUCGUGAUCUCGGGAUAAAUGGUACUAAUCGGUGAUUAAUUGAUUGUGUAGUUUACGCUCGAACGGCCUUUACGGUUUUACGCUGGCGAUUUGAGCGUCGUUAAUUAUGCGGAGUGGAUCUUAGAAAGAACGAAGAAAUAACGGUGAAAAUAUAGUUUCUUUUAUAAAGACUAAUGUUUCAGGGGGUUGAAUUUUAUAGAUAUAUAUUUGGCACCUCUGUUAUAUAAUAGAUAAUAUUUUAUGAGAUCUGCUAAUCACCAAGUGUUAAUUACGUUAAAUAACAGUUAUACUGCCGAUAUAUACGGGAUUAAUCUAUGUUACUUUAUAUAAUCACUUAUUACUCGUUACCUCAAUGUAUCAAUAAUGUCGAGCAAGCCUGCAGAAUUUUACCUGUCGAAAAUUACUUCUGAACAGUCGUACGCGUAACGCUAAUAUAUUUAGAAUUUCCGGAAGGGGUGCUCCCCUUACGCAAUACAGUGGAAAUGGAUCGGAAGUAAAACAGAAUCCAGUAUUCGAUUGGAAGACACAACACACUUUUACGUGCACAAUAGUAUUUCAUUGAAUUGUUAUCGAUUACGCGCAAUGUUGAAAUUGCAUGGAUCACAUUUUUCGAGAACCUCUUUUAUCAGUAAUAACAUUUACGCACAAAAAUAUUACACUCUAAAUUAUACAAAUACUUUUGAGAAUAUAUGUUAACUUAAUGCAAUUAUUACGUAAACGUGUUCAUAGAGAGGGAAAGUUAUCAUUCAAAAAUAUUUCCUCCUAUGUUUAAGAAGGUAUGUACAGGCAUAGGCAUUUCUGUACAUUUUUAUAUAAUUAAUUAUUUGACGUAUAAUUUUUCUUUGUCUAGAAUUCGGAUUUACUUUGAUAAAUUUAACAAAAGAAUAUAGGAUGUACUUUUAAUCGUCUACUAAAUAAAUAAAUUUGAUUUUAUAACUUUUAUAAAAUCAAAUAUUUGUUGCUUCUUGCAAUGUUCUAUGUUUAAAUUAUUAAUUAAAAAAUUAUAAAUUUUUUAGGAACAAUUAUUGAAAUUUUGAAAAUUUUUGUAACGGAGUGCAAGACAGAGAUGAAUAAUACGUAAGCAUACUUGAACGUAAGAUCAGAGAAAAAGAUCGCCCGCAUUAGAUGAAAUCGAACGUGUCGUUCAGCGGCGUCUUGGCAGAGUGCGGCCUGUGCUGAGGGAUCAAGCCGGAUCAUCCUUAGCCGAGCGAUGCAAUCUAAGGAACGGGUUCGCGUUUCAAGAUCGGACGCGUCCGAGAGAGGGAAGGGGUUUCGUACGGUUCCGCUGGUGAAGCCACCGCGUUUCGCCGGGAGAAAUAAAAGAGUGGUAGCGUCCCGCGCGCGUAAUUAAGGACCGAAGGGUGGGCAUGGGAUGGAAAAACCGGAGGAAGAGAGAAGACGAAGGGGCGGUAUUUGAGAAGGGGGUGUAUGGGGGUUUAGACAUCGAUCGGGCUGGACGUGUAUGGCACAACGUGCACGUGCACGCGCGUCGUACGUGUACACAUAACCACCACACGCCGCCACCUGGCCAGUCCCGCGUGGGCAGGAUGGUGCGAGUCGCCGUUACAAGAACGCCGAAGAGAGGGGGGAGGAAAGCAGGGGAUGCGGAGGAGGGUGUAGUGGAUGUAGAGCCGCACGAGGCAGAGGGACCGAGGGUGGUUCGGUUGGCCCCGAACCUACCCUAAAUCGAAGAAGCAUGGGACACACCCUGGAAGAAAAUGGGAAGUGGGGUAGUUGGCGCGGGUGGCCGGGCAAGGAUGGGAUACCUCCGCACAGUCUCUCUCUCUCUUUCUCUUGUUCUCGUUCUCUUUCUCGCCUCCAUCUCAUCCUCUCGUCCUCUCCUCCCUCGUACUCGAUGCUCUCCUGCAGCCUCAUCCUCCCUCUUCCACCUGCCGACCCUGCUGCUCAUCCUCCUCCGCCAUCCCCCUUCUUCCUCUCCGAUAUCUUAUUUCGUUCUCUCACCCUCCUCUCGCCACGGGCGAGCCGUCUCACCCCACCGAGCCGGCUGAAGGCGCCCGGCUGCCCUCGUCCCUCAUCCCCCGCUCCCAAUCCCGCGCUCUCCGCCAUCGACACGCCAAUGAGGGCCACCCCGCGACAGGGCAGGUGUGCGAGCCACAAUGGAAGACGCUGUAGAGACAGCCGCGGUGAAGAGAGAGGACCAACGGACUCGCGAGUGGCCGCGGGCGAGAGAACGACAGGAUCUUCUCCCCUUCGAUGGAGAAAGAGAGAAAGAAGAUCGCCGAGAAAGAGUCUGCGGACGAAAGCGAGAGGGCGGAAAAGAGCGGAGACAGAGGAAAGUAGAAAGAGAAAGGCGGAAAGAAAGCGAGGAGAAAGAAGGAAGAAAAAAAAGGAUAGAACGGAAACGAGAGAGGCCAGAAGGAAAGAGAGAAAUGUGUGUGAGAGAGAGAGAGAGAGAGAGAGGGAGGGAGAGAGAGGGAGAGAGAGAAAGGGAAGCAGCAAGACGAAGGGAAGGAAGGAGAAUGUGCGCACGAGAUCGUGGAAAAGAGAGGCCAGAACAGGACAGUGAGAGGCGGCAACGCCCAUUUUUUGAUAAGCUAGUUACCCGCCGCUACCCUGCCGCGAAAGGGGCAGAGGGUAGUUCUCCGGCACAAGGCGGUAAGAGGCGCGGCGGCAGGAGGUCGAGUUGGCCGAAGGGCGAGGGACGGCGGGCGCAGAUAGAAGCGAGGAAAGAGCGGCACGGGGGAGGAAGGUUGGGUACGCGGCGGGUGUCGGGUUCUACGGAGAUCAAUAACUGCAUAAAAAUAAAGUGAGGCUCUGGCCCGCUACCUUUAACCCACCGCCCCCUCCCUCCGAGUUCUCCACCUUCACCUUUUCCUCCACUUCCGCGGCGCCGACGGCGGCGGUGGCGGUGGCGGCGGCGGCGGCAACGGCAACGGCAACGGCAACGGCGGCUGCUUCGUUCUCCUUCGUUCGACGCCCCUCCGCGUCGUUGCUUCUCACUACGCAGCAACGUCUUUCCAGCACUAUGCCAUCCCCCCCGUCGUCGCGCCCAUCUCCCGGCCUCCCGCCUCCAAUGAGGAUCCGGAGGUUAUUGCCUGUAUUUUCUUAAGGGAUGAAUUCUCCGCGAGGACCGCUACCGCCACCUUCGCCAACUUGCUCGUCGCCAGGAGGGGUAGGAGGCCGAGUAACUGCAAGUUCGCGCUCGUGAGCGGGCUAGGUAGGUGUCGGUGGCUCCGCGUAGUCCGUUUCCGGUGUAUGCGGCCCGUUAAGUUUUCGUCAUGUUCGCAACGAUGCGCGACGCAGGGGGAGGGGGGGGUUGAUCAAUUUUCUGAUGGAGAUGUCGUGACGGAUGGAUUGCGUUGUCCGUGGGCUCACGCGUGACACUUCAGACACACGUCGCGAUGCAUGAUCGAGGAUUGAGGGGAAUGGGAAAAUAGGAAAAGUUUAUUUUCGGAUAUUUAUCGAGGACACAUCUGUCUCUUUCGUCGAAAUUAAUUAAACCGUGCACCCAUCGUGUACGUUCAAUUAAUGUAAGACAUGCGCUAACAACAAUGUUUCGAACUCGAAAUGUUUGCGAAAUUUCUGAACGACGAUAUGCGAAUCCACGAUACUACCUCCGGGCACGGCAGCGAUAUUUUUUUUAACGUUAUACGUGUACGGGCAUACGGUAUAUGGAAUCAUGUAUGUAAAAUGUCUGCAGACGUCCUGAAAAACUUAAACGAUCUUUGUUUUGAAUCAUAAAUUAGUUUAACUGUAUUUAGAAGUAGAAGAGAAAAAGAAACAGAUUUAGAAUAUCCCAGGAAAUAUUUUCAAAAGGGUCGUAACAAUUUCUAAUUGGAUUAAAUUCCUUGAUUAUUUUAUGAAAAAAUUAUUUUUCUAACGAUGCAUAGGUGUAUUUUUCUGUUUCCACAACAAACCGUGUUAUUUUUGCCCGCUAUAUAUUUGCGCAGAGUGCAAAACGUGUACAACCGAACGAAUCACUGUGCGUUUUGAAAGCAACAAGUACUUAGGUACGAUCCCUCCGUAGGAGACCUAAAGAGACCUUGCAAGGAGAGUUAAAAACAAAGUUGUGAUUCUCCAGCGGUGCUACGAUUACGUGUUCAAUAAUGAAUCGUUGUCAAAGAGAGAGGGUCUGACAGGCCUAAUCGUUUUUUGCAGUUGCAAAUAGAUAUGUCCAACGGUGCGGCAAUAUAAGAUUGAUUUAUAUUUUUUAGUUUGUGCGAUUGUAGUGUAUAAAAAACAGUUUUUUUAGUAAAUCAAUACGUAAGUUUGUUAAAAACAAAUCUAAUAUUGCUUUAAUGUACAUAUUGAGACAUAAAUAAUUUUUAUAUGAUAGAUUCUGCAACUUAAGAAAUUAGAUGAUGAAAUUGUAUUGUUUGGCUAAUCUUAAGUAAAGCCUGAUUUCGUAAAUUUUUGAUUUAAUUAUAAAUAUAAUAAGAUAUUUUGAAAUUGAAAAAUUCGUAAAAAAAUGUAACGUUUGAUAAAGAUAUCGAGAAUUUGAAAAACUGCUGCAAAACUAUAACAUAUAUUAAAAAAAAUAACGUAUGCACAAGACUAAAUAAAACAUUUUCAAAUUAUUAACCCAGCUAUGUAUGAAUGAAGAGUUUGUUAUUCAAGUUUUUAAUACAAUAUGUAGAAGCGUUCUUAUCUUCUCGGAAAAGCAAGUAUCGGAGUAAUUACUAGCGAAGUAGUUCUAGGAGGGCAAUGCUACAAUUCGCGUUUCCUCGUGCGGCUGUUUCGGACUUCCUGCCCACGAAAGUCGCUCAUCCAUCGAACGGCACCUUCCACGAAAAAGAAAUUAGACGCGCGGUGGUCUAAGAGCGAGUGGGCCAUGCGUUCGCGGAAGCUAUGCCUUUUCGUUUCUUCUCUAUUCGCGAACGGUUAUCGUUCAAAGGGCGAAUGUAGAAACGUACGCGCACGCACCUCGCAUCCAAGCCCCUUUUGGAAGGCCGUAUCGACCGCUAGGAACGGACAACGGUUUUCUUUUACGAAAGCAAUUUUGCAGACCGUUCGUAAUUUAGUAGAGCGCGAGGGGCAGCAGGACGGAGGAUGGAUGACGAGGAGGCGGAUGAAAGGAAGAGGUAGGGAACAGAUAGAAGGAGAUAUCUGUUGUUGGCGUCGCGAAAUAAGCGUAUGCAUUUUUCGCGGAUCAACGGUGGUACCGCGCUAUUCGCAUCAAGACAGAGAUACGUACCAGAGUACGUACCUUUACGGACGUAAACUGAGACCGUGGUACAAAGUAGCUAUUACGGUUAACCGUGAAAAAAAACAACGAAAAACAACACGGUGUACCGACAAGGCAAAGGGAAAAAGAAAGAGGGAGAAAGAGAGUCUAUGAAUUUACAGAUUUAGAUUAGAUUUUGUCGCUGACUUCGCGAUUGAAAUAAUUUGUAGCUGAAUUAAUUAAGAAACAUCCCCGAGCUUUAUUUCGAAUUCGAAUGAAAUUUCGUGGGCGUAAUAGCUGCGAAAAUAUAGGAAAGUGUAUAUAUUUUUGUAUUGCUUCUCUGAUGUUGAGCUUUUAUUUAUUUUUUUGCUUUGUAUAUUAACUAUAAUAUCAAAUAUUAUUGGCCAAUUGUUACUUUUAUUUUUAUAUAAACAAUCGUGUAAAUUUAAUAUUUAAAACCGACUCUUGAUAUAUACUUCUUUACUAUAAACAUAUAAAAAUUGAUGUGAAAAAGAUUCAUUAAUUGAUUUUAGUAAAAAAAAAACAUCUGUUUAUUUUCGACAAAUAGAUUAUAAUACUAAUGAUAAGCAUAAUCGGCAAAUUAGUUUUAUUUCUCGUGUUAAAAGUGCGUUUCGUCGUAUCGUUAAAAUAUGCGAGGGAGACACGAUCGCGAGAGAAAUUUUUCAGCCCUCCCUUCGAGACAAGUACUUGUGCGCCCGAUGUGUCUCGAAAGGGCUAAGGAGGAAAAAGGGGGUCUCGUCGCCCUUGAGUCUACGCACGGUGCUCGUACAUAAAUCACGUAGUAGGGGUAGGUCAGUACGGGCUAUCCUCGGAGGGUUGAAACUUUUAGGAAGGGAGCACAGUCUGCGAACCGCUCGAACACGCAAAUUUAGGGUGGGUCGUCUCCCUUCGUGAGACAUAUAAGUUUGCUCCACUCCACUGUUCGUUCAAAAACUAGCGAGUACGUUUGGCAAAAAAGAAACUCUUUUGUUCUCGGAAACACACAUGAUAUUUCUGUCAUUAAAUCGUAUCCAUUUGCAUAGAUAAUUAUCUAUUAUAUACUUUUUUAAUUAUAAAGACACAAAGUUGUAAAAGUUAAAACAGAAUUUAAUAGUUUUUGCUUGAAGUACAUUUUUAUUAUUAUAUAUUGAGAUAAUUAUAUUUUUGCGUGUACAAAAGAGUUGAGAGAUUUAUAUACUAAAAAUAUUAAUUUUUUUAGAUAUCUACAUUUUUUGUUAAAUUUCUAGUCUUUAAAAAGGACAAUAUACGUUUGUAAGUUGUAUAUGUGAUUGUGUAUUGUAGUAAUAUUAAAAAUUACAAAAAUUUUUGAUAAAGCAAGGAUUAAUAAUUCUAUGAGUUAAAUGAUAUUCAUAAAACUAGGGGAAAACUGCUACUUCGAACUUUUUCAUGAAAAUAACAUUUACUGGCUUCAAGUGCAUGAAGCUACGCGUAUCUUUAUGUGAAGUUAUAUUUUUUCGCGUAAACCGAAUAAAUUGCUCGGUUCAUACAAUAGAAAACGGUAAACAGAAGUCAGUCACAGGGUGAAGUGAUAGUUUUUAAUUUCGCACCACCGUGAAACGGCCCCUUUUUAAUCAAUCUUGUACGUCGCUUGUUUUUUUGUUAUAGCGCUUUUACGAGAAAUAACAUCGUUCGGCAAAUAAAAAUAUUUAGUCGUGUUUCCACCGUGGAUUUAAUAAAACAUUUAUUUACAGUUUAUCACGAGUAGAAAAAUUGCCGCGUUGGUGUCCGAGAGAUAGAGAGAGAUUUUAGUAGGCUAGCGUGUUCGCCCGAAAAUAAUGCAACUCUUUCAUCUGUUCUGGAUUAUACUGUCGACACUCGUCCGAAAAAAGGCACGCAUUCGUGACAGGCGUGUACAGUGAUGU